GAUCAGACCUGGCAGGCAAGACCCCAUGAGCACCAAGGUGGUUUUCCCAGGGUGAGGCCCACCCAUUGCACUGGGGAUGUGCCGACCCCUGCGACUUUCCCGAAUGCGGAAAAAUCGAAGGCGUAAUUCAUAGCAGUGGGGUCGGUGUUUGUGCGCUCACCUGGG